UCCAAUUGGUAUGCCGUGCUCAUGCAGCCC
rnacentral:sRNA from 1 species